rnacentral:rRNA from 1 species
GAUGAACGCUGGCGGCGUGCCUAAUACAUGCAAGUCGAACGCUGAAGGAGGAGCUUGCUCUUCUGGAUGAGUUGCGAACGGGUGAGUAACGCGUAGGUAACCUGCCUGGUAGCGGGGGAUAACUAUUGGAAACGAUAGCUAAUACCGCAUGACAACAGUUAUUGCAUGAUAACUGUUUAAAAGGGGCAACUGCUCCACUACCAGAUGGACCUGCGUUGUAUUGGCUAGUUGGUGAGGUAACGGCUCACCAAGGCGACGAUACAUAGCCGACCUGAGAGGGUGAUCGGCCACACUGGGACUGAGACACGGCCCAGACGCCUACGGGAGGCAGCAGUAGGGAAUCUUCGGCAAUGGACGGAAGUCUGACCGAGCAACGCCGCGUGAGUGAAGAAGGUUUUCGGAUCGUAAAGCUCUGUUGUAAGAGAAGAACGAGUGUGAGAGUGGAAAGUUCACACUGUGACGGUAUCUUACCAGAAAGGGACGGCUAACUACGUG